GACGAACCGUGCGAACGUUGUUCGGAAUCACUGGGCUUAAAGGGCGCGUAGGCGGGCGGUCAAGUCAGAGGUGAAAUCCCACGGCUCAACCGUGGAAGUGCCCCUGAUACUGAUCGCCUCGAGGGAGGUAGGGGCGUGCGGAACUUCCGGUGGAGCGGUGAAAUGCGUAGAAUAUCGGAAGGAACACCGAUGGCGAAAGCAGCAGCGCUGGACCUUUACUGACGCUGAGGCGCGAAGCCAGGGGAGCAAACGGGA
rnacentral:rRNA from 1 species